AUGGAGGUUGAGGCGCCGAAAUCGGUGACGGUGGAAGUGACGCCGACGAAGCUGGAGUUCAAGGAGCUGGACGAGGUCUUGAACUACACGGUCUCCGUCAAGGCCAAGGCCGUGCCGGAAGGCGCCAUCGAAGGGCAGCUCAAGUGGGUCUCCAGCAAGCACAUCGUGCGAAGCCCGAUCCUCAUAUUGCCCGGCGACGGGGAAGAGGAGGCCACGUCGGGAGCUGAGGGGCCUUCAGCUCAUGUUAGUUCUUUGCUCGAGUGA
rnacentral:rRNA from 1 species